rnacentral:rRNA from 1 species
GAUGAACGCUGGCGGCGUGCCUAAUACAUGCAAGUCGAACGGGGAGAUUGUAGCAAUACGGUCUCCUAGUGGCGAACGGGUGAGUAACGCGUUGGUGACCUGCCCCGAAGAGUGGGAUAACAGUUCGAAAGGGCUGCUAAUACCGCAUGUGGAUGGAGAGAUUAGAGGCUUUCCAUCGAAAGGAGCAUCGCAAGAUGCGCCGCUUCGGGAGGGACCUGCGACCCAUCAGCUAGUUGGUAGGGUAAAGGCCUACCAAGGCGACGACGGGUAGGGGACCUGAGAGGGUGACCCCCCACACUGGCACUGAAACACGGGCCAGACACCUACGGGUGGCAG